UACGUAGGGCGCAAGCGUUGUCCGGAAUUAUUGGGCGUAAAGAGCUCGUAGGCGGUUUGUCGCGUCUGCUGUGAAAACUCGAGGCUCAACCUCGGGCUUGCAGUGGGGUACGGGCAGACUAGAGUGCGGUAGGGGAGACUGGAAUUCCUGGUGUAGCGGUGGAAUGCGCAGAUAUCAGGAGGAACACCGAUGGCGAAGGCAGGUCUCUGGGCCGCAACUGACG
rnacentral:rRNA from 1 species